CAUUUUUACAAAACACGGGAAACACUCUCAUUUCUAUUUCUCUUUACCACCGCAUAUCCCGCUCUCGCAUAUCCUCUCUCUCAUGCCCAUUCUCACCACCUGUUCCGGCUGAAAUUGGUUCGGCUCCAUUGCUGGGUAAGGUGCAGCAGAAGCAGACGAUGUUGACCCAUGUGGUCCGCCACCAUGGAUUGACGUGAUAGCGUCGAAAUUUUGAAGAAAUCAAUCUAGGUCAAUUGGGGAUCGCGAAUGGCGAUUUUUCUGGAAUCGGGAUUCAAAUCUGCUGCUAAAUCUUAUACAAUGUGGGAGCAGUUUCUUCUGUCGGAUUAUCAAGAUAUUAUUGCAAAUUGCAAAUUGCAAAUUGCAAAAUCUGCCCCCAAAGCUUUGGCUAUAGCUUCUCUACUCCACACUGUCUACUCAAUACGCUCAUCUUCCAACACGCUUCGAGCUCCAACGCUUGCUGAUCUGCCCAUUUCUCUUUCUUUCAACAGUUUGGGUUUGGGAUUGGGAAUUGUGUGCAGUAAGAGCAAGGGCACCAGAUAAGGCACCGGCUGAGAGUAGCAUUAAUUAGAUUCUUGGAAUCAAAGGAGCUAAGCAAGUUUAAUUGAAUAACAUUUUUUUAGGUAAGAGUAUGUAGUUAUAUACUUAAGUACGAAAUAGGUAAUUGAAUAACAUUUUUUUGAUAAAUCUAUGUUCUGCUUGCUUCAGUGGAGAGGUUGCCUUCGUGAAUGAUGUUCUAUUAAAAGCAAAGCAAAUCGAACUAGAUUUACCUGUUCCAAACUCGAGAAGUAUAGUAUAUUCUUUCUUAUAACGUGUGGUCAUCUGAGGCUUUAAACAAAUCUUGAGUGUGUAAAUAAUAGUUCAGCGAUUUUCACUACUUUAACUUUGGUUUACCAUUGCAUUGUAAUAAGAAUUUUCCUCUUGAGUUGAAAGUCGAUAGGGUUAGAUUGUAGUAAACAACCUUGUUAAUGUCUUUGUAAUCUUUGUUUUUGUACCUCUUGCAUGACUAUCUGUUUCGCGCGGG
rnacentral:lncRNA from 1 species